UACGUAGGGUGCAAGCGUUGUCCGGAAUUAUUGGGCGUAAAGAGCUCGUAGGCGGUUUGUCGCGUCUGCUGUGAAAACGCGAGGCUCAACCUCGCGCCUGCAGUGGGUACGGGCAGACUAGAGUGCGGUAGGGGAGAUUGGAAUUCCUGGUGUAGCGGUGGAAUGCGCAGAUAUCAGGAGGAACACCGAUGGCGAAGGCAGAUCUCUGGGCCGUAACUGACGCUGAGGAGCGAAAGCGUGGGGAGCGAAACAGG
rnacentral:rRNA from 1 species